GAGGAAUAUUGGUCAAUGGGCGGAAGCCUGAACCAGCCAAGUAGCGUGCAGGAUGACGGCCCUAUGGGUUGUAAACUGCUUUUACAGGGGAAUAAAAAGGAGCACGUGUGCUCUGUUGCAUGUACCCUGCGAAUAAGGACCGGCUAAUUCCGUGCCAGCAGCCGCGGUAAUACGGAAGGUCCUGGUGUUAUCCGGAUUUAUUGGGUUUAAAGGGAGCGUAGGCCGUAGAUUAAGUGUGUUGUGAAAUGUAGGCGCCCAACGUCUGCCUUGCAGCGCAAACUGGUUUACUUGAGUACGCGCAACGCAGGCGGAAUUCGUCGUGUAGCGGUGAAAUGCUUAGAUAUGACGAAGAACUCCUAUUGCGAAGGCAGCUUGCGGGAGCGUUACUGACGCUGAAGCUCGAAAGUGCGGGUAUCGAACAGGAUUAGAUACCCUGGUAGUCCGCACGGUAAACGAUGGAUGCCCGUUUUUGGCUUAUUUUAGCCAGAGACCAAGCGAAAGCAUUAAGCAUCCCACCUGGGGAGUACGCCGGCAACGGUG
rnacentral:rRNA from 1 species